rnacentral:lncRNA from 1 species
GGAAAAAGUCCUGCAAGGCCUGAGGCAGAGAGUGCGGCAAGGGGAGGACCUCUCCUUCAGAGCUGAGACCUUCGGCUGAGAGUACAGAAGCAGUGGAUGCAGCAAGUAGGAGGAUGGUCUGCAAGCUACCUGAUUCUGGUGUUCAAGCUAACAGAACAUAGACCCACGUUUUUUUCUUUACAGUCAUGGUUCUGUCCGCUGAUACCAGUGUGAAGCAGUGCAACGAGGUGGGCCCUGCCGAACAUGCAGCUUGCCUGGAGUCUGAGGGUUAUGCAGCAGUUCAGAAAAGCCUAGAGCAAUGCAAGUCCUGGUCCGUGCUGGAGCAGGUCCUGGAGAGGGGUGCACGGCACUCCAGGCAGCUAAGUGGCACACGGC